rnacentral:ncRNA from 18 species
GAUAAGGUGUAGGGCUCAGGCAGUUUCAAUCUGAAGAAGCAUCCUUCCGGCGUAAGGGAAACCGGUGCAAUACCGGUGCUGCCCCGCAACUGUGAGGGGGGACCGAUGCCGCAGUGAUGCCACUGUCCGAAGGGACGGGAAGGCGCGGCAGGCGGGAUGAUCCCCGAGCCAGGAGACCUGGCUGGAAGGCGACAACACAC